ensembl:lincRNA Gm38324 predicted gene, 38324
UCUUUUUAGUCCCAGUUUGCCUCCCAGGAGUAACCCCAGUCCAUGUGAGCCACGGGCCAGCUCCCGACAGUCUGGUGCCCAGGCCAGGGACCUGAGGAAUGGCAGAAAAACGCUAAAGGAAUGCUGCUUGGUGUGGAGCUCCAUGGGAAGGAAAGAAUCAUAGAGUCAAAUUGUAUGGGGGCAUGGUGAGCAACAGGUCACCUAAAAGCAACAGUAGAGCUGUCUUCAUGGUGUUGGUUGUUAGCCACUGAGGGCUUAAAUUCCCCUAUACACAUGCUAGCACAGUGCAGAGCCUAAGGAACUAAAAGAGUUCCUGGCAUAACUGAUUUGGAUUUUGAAAGUGUUCAGUUGCUCUUAACAAGCUCAAGAUGAAGUCAA